AUUUUGCCAGAGACUGACAGCGAGAGCACAUGUCGGUCGAGUAGCGUCGCCGGAGAAAAAAAAGCACUAGUAAACCAAAUGUCCAAAACACGAGGAGCGUCCAUCUUCUCCAACUCAACUGACAGUUGUUGGUCACUCGCACCAGCCGCCCAGCCGGAACCGGAAGCGGAAACUGAAGCGAGGGACCCGGGCACCGGCGCCGGCACGAUUCACUAGAUCGUAGGCGCAGGCGCGGGUCCGUCUGUGACGGACACGGCGGUGGUGGCGAGGAGGAGGAGGACUUGAGGAGCGUUGGGGUGAGCGAGCAAACCAGAUGCGCUCGGAAUGGGGAAGCCCUUCGAUGUGGAGCUCGGCGGCGGCGCGGGAGGCCUCGAGAUCGCCGGAGCCGGAGGCGGUGGCCCAUGGGGAGGGCGAGUCUUCGGCGCGAUCGGGCGGGCGGUUUCGUUCCGGUGCGUCUUCGUGCUCCUGCUCGCGGCAGGGGUGCUCAUACCGGUGCUGUUCCUGCUCGUGCCCUCGCGCCAGCAGGGGUACCUCUCAGACGACCACGACGUGCUCGCUGCUGAAAUCAAAGUUGGUUUCACUUUGGAAAAGCCAGUGUCAUUCCUUACUUCUCACAUAGACAAACUAGGGAAUGACAUAUUUGAAGAUAUUGGUGUACCUAAUAGCAAGGUUUCCAUUGUUUCAAUGCACCCCUUGACCUCUAAAUACUUUACACAUAUCGUUUUUGGUGUUCUUCCUUAUCCAAAAGAUGCUUCAAUAAGUUUACCGGCUCUAAGUGUGCUGAGAUCAUCCUUAAUAGAGAUGAUGCUCCAGCAGGUGAACCUAUCCUUAACACCAUCACUGUUUGGGCACCCAUCUUCUUUCGAGCUAUUGAGAUUCCCUGGAGGAAUUACAGUAAUUCCUGCACAGUCUGGUUUUACAUGGGUGAACACAGACCCCCUAUUCAACUUUAUGUUGAACAACUCCAUUUAUCAGAUUUUGGGUAAUCUUACAGAGCUCAAGGAUCAGCUGAAACUUGGAUUGAACUUAAGGUCAUACGAGAAAAUAUAUUUUCAGUUCAGGAAUGAGAUUGGUUCUUCAGUUGAAGCUCCAGCAACUAUUGUGGCAUCAGUAUUAGAUGGAAGCAGCAAUCUUUUACCAGAUAGAUUGAGACAACUAGCUAAGCUAAUCAGAGAACCUGAUGCGAGGAAUCUUGGACUUAAUCACUCUGUAUUUGGUAAAGUAAAGGGUGUUCAGCUGUCAUCGUACCUGCAACACAAAAUCUCUGGUUUAUCUCCUAGCCCAUCUCCGGCUCCAUCGCCAUCACAAUCACCUUCUCCAAGCAUGCCGACAUCCUUGUCACCUUACCCUGCAUCAAGUCUCCCUGGUCCAGCUUUAGCCCCUUCAUGGAGCAGACACCCUUGCUUUCCAUGUUUUAGGUGUAAUCCCUCUCCUGCUGGUAGUUCAACGGUAAAACCUCCUUGCAUUGUUAGAGACCCCAGGCUACCUCCAUUAAUGCAUUCACCAAAGCCACCCAUUAUGCCUUCCCCGCCAAAAUACCUCCCUCCAGCAGAUCCACCGGUUCCUUCCCAUGUAGUUCCUCCUCGCCCCUUACCUAAUCCCAAUCAUUUUCCAAAAGCAGUUUCUAGACCCAAUUCUCAAAUGAUGCCAAUACCUUCGCCCUCAAGACCAGUGUCUCAACAUUGGAAGGCCCCAAGGAAAAAAGAGAAUAGCAGAACUUCGAAUUUCUCUCCAAUUGCGCCAUCUCCAUAUGCUCUCCUUCACACUUGAAGUUAUGCUUGAUUGGAUGCCUGGGUUGCUUCGAAUGUUGGGCAUGCGUCAUCAGGAAAAUCUAGCCAGAAGAGAGGGUUCACUAUGGUUGCAGUUCUGCUUCAAGCAUGACCAUGAGUCGCAAUCGUGGGCUAUGAUGCAAACACCAGGCUUUGUUUAUUGGCUAAUGUAACUAUAUGAUGAAUUCUAAAGCUCUUCAGAUCAGGUUAAUUGUAGAUAUAGGUCUAUACAAUGCUAAUUAACCAGGGUAUUACGCCACGAAGGUGGCUGCCCUACGCCCUUAUCAAAUUUUAAGUUCUCACCGAAGGGUUGGGAGCUUAUACAGAGGAGAAUGUAAGCACUCUAUUACUCGGAGUACACGUUCUGCAAUAUUACUGCUUCUCUGCAAGACUUCAUCUCUUUGGACAUAAAGCAAAGAGAAGACAAGAAAGCACUAUUGAUUUCAUCGCGGUGGAGUAACUUAGAGAUGGCAACGGGACUCGAUCCCAGAUUUCCAGCGACAUUAGAAAAUAGGGAUGCAGAAGUUUCUUCCCCACAAGGAUGUAAACAGGGAAAACUUUUUCUCCAACGUGGACGGGAAAGCAUUCUUCAUUCCGUUUUAGGAUC